UAUAAAUUGUGACUACCUGAUAAUUAUAUGUUUUUUUUAUAAUCAGGCAGACCACUAAGCUUAUACUGUUUAACUUAGGUAUUAUUAGACACUCGCGCGACUUGUAGGUACCUAUACAAACACCACCACCAGACCAGUACAAACGGCAAAUAUCAAUUUACGCUUUUCCUACUGACAUAUUGGUUUGCCACUUACAAUUAUAAUGUACCUACCUGGAAUAUGCUUACAGUAUCGAUUGCAAUGUAUUAUUAGUUACUGCAAUAAAGAAUUUGUAUUUCCAGUUCGAUUGUCAAAGGCUCCAUUAGUAAGUACCUAGGUGAUCAUAGGUCCUAGAUCCGGAUCAUCCGGGGGCUUACGAUAACUUGCUUACUCGUCAAGAUAUGACGAGUAUAUUGUAUUUUAAAUUGUUAAAAGAUUUUUAUAGUACUCUUUGUUGUAUUGCUGUAACUUUGUUAGUGGAUUUGUUUAAAAUUACUGUUAAAUGUUAUAAAAUUUGGUAAAUAAAGUAAUUUAACAAUU